UCCCUGGUGGCUCAGCUGGUAAAGAACCCGCCUGCAAUGCGGGAGACCUGGGUUCGAUCCCUGGCUUGGGAA
rnacentral:tRNA from 1 species